GCGGAUGUAACUCAGCUGGUAGAGUGCAAGCUUCCCAAGCUUGAGGGCGCGGGUUCGAAUCCCGUCAUCCGCUCCA
rnacentral:tRNA from 1 species